CGGUAAUUCCAGCUCCAAUAGCGUAUAUUAAAGUUGUUGCAGUUAAAAAGCUCGUAGUUGGAUUUCGGAGCGGGUGAGUUGGCCCGCCGCAAGGGGUGUUACUGACUGGCUUGCUCUUCUUCGCAUACACUGCUAGUGCUCUUUAUUGAGUGUGCGAGAGGACAUAGCUUACGUUUACUUUGAAAGAAUUAGAGUGGUCAAAGCAGGCUAUUGCUUGAAUGCAUGAGCAUGGAAUAAUGGAGUAGGACUUUGGUCCCAUUUUGUUGGUUUCUAGGACCGAAGUAAUGAUUAAGAGGGACAAUUGGGGGCAUCCGGAUUUAGUUGACAUACGUGAAAUUCUUGGAUUUACGAUUGACCAACAACUGCUAAAGCACUUGCCUAGAUUGUUUUCAUUAAUCAAGAACGAAAGUUAGAAGAUCGAAAACCAUCAGAUACCGUCCUAGUUCUAACCAUAAACGAUGUCGACGAGGGAUCAGCGGCCGCUAUCGCACCACCCCGUUGGUACCUUACUGUAAACCCAAGUUUCUGGUUUCCGGGGGAAGUAUAGUCGCAGGUCCGAAACUUAAAGGAAUUGACGGAAGGGCCCCCCCAGGAGUGGAGCCUGUGGUUCAAUUUGUCUCCACGCGGGGAAACUUCCCAGGUCCAGACAUAGUAAGGAUUGACAGGUUGAGAUCCCUUUCUUGAUUCUAUGGGUGGUGGCGCAUGCCCUUUUUUAGUUGGGGGAGUGAUUUGUGUGGUUAAUUCCGUUAGCGAGCGAGACCUUAACCGGAUAAAUAGUCAUUCGAUUCUAGAAUAGUAACUGAUUUUUUAGAGGGGCUGUUGGCGUUUAGUCAAAGUCAGGAAGGCAAUCAACAGCUGUUGAUGCCCUUAGAUGUUCUUGGCCGCACGCGCGGUACUCCGUCGGAUUCAGCGACUAUUAACCUUAACCGAAAGGUUUGGGUAACCUUUUGAAAGUCCGUCGUGAUGGGGAUUGGUCAUUGCAAUUAUUGAUCAUGAACGAGGAAUUCCUAGUAAAUGCGAGUCAUCAGCUCGCGUUGAUUACGUCCCUGCCCCUUGUACACACCGCCC
rnacentral:rRNA from 1 species